UUAGUUCGGUUCUGAAUAGGAACAAGAGAGGAACCGGCUGAAGCUUCCCACUCCGGUGGGUUAGCUUGGUCGCAACUGGUGGAGUGGAAAACUGGAACGCCAACUUGAGUGCAUGCAUAACAUUCAAUGGAGUUUGAGAUUGGGUUGCUGUCAUCUUCGUUGUCAUCGCUGUUGUCAGGUUGAACUGCUCUUCGUCGGAAUAUGCCGAACCACCUGAUAUCCCCAUUUUAAAAAUUCAAUUUAGCAGCACAACUCAUGAUAUAACAAAUAUAGCAACAAAAACUGAAAAAUAAAAUAAAAUCAGUGCACUGCAAUAAAAUUGUAACAUAAGAUUGACAAAAAGAAAAAAGUUCAUUUUCCUAACGGGUACUUAGCAUGGGAGGAGCUAGUGAACAUUAUUUAGUGCUUCAAUUGAAUGAAAAAGACGCCUACUUGAGUGCAUGCAUAACAUUCAAUGGAGUUUGAGAUUGGGUUGCUGUCAUCUUCAUUGUCUUCGCUGUUGUCAGGUUGAACUGAUCUUCGUCGGAAUAUGCCGAACCACCUGAUAUAUAUCCCAUUCCAAAAAUAAGUUAGUAGCACAACUCAUUUAAUGAGUACAAAAAUAAAAAAGAAAAAGAAAAUAAAAUCGUGCACUGCUACAAAGUGUUAUACAUGAGUUCAGU
rnacentral:lncRNA from 1 species